AGAGUUUGAUCCUGGCUCAGGACGAACGCUGGCGGCGUGCUUAACACAUGCAAGUCGAACGGAAAGGCCCUUCGGGGUACUCGAGUGGCGAACGGGUGAGUAACACGUGGGUGAUCUGCCCUGCACUUUGGGAUAAGCCUGGGAAACUGGGUCUAAUACCGAAUAUGAUCACAGGCUUCAUGGUUUGUGGUGGAAAGCUU
rnacentral:rRNA from 1 species